rnacentral:rRNA from 1 species
UACGUAGGGUGCAAGCGUUGUCCGGAAUUAUUGGGCGUAAAGAGCUCGUAGGCGGUCUGUCGCGUCGGAUGUGAAAACCCAGGGCUCAACCCUGGGCCUGCAUUCGAUACGGGCAGACUAGAGUUCGGUAGGGGAGACUGGAAUUCCUGGCGUAGCGGUGAAAUGCGCAGAUAUCGGGAGGAACACCGGUGGCGAAGGCGGUUCUCUGGGCCUUACCUGACGCUGAGGAGCGAAAGCGUGGGGAGCAAACAGG